AUUGAACGCUGGCGGCAGGCCUAACACAUGCAAGUCGAACGAGUGGCGGACGGGUGAGUAAUGUCUGGGAAACUGCCUGAUGGAGGGGGAUACUUACUGGAAACGGUAGCUAAUACCGCAUACCAUCGGAUGUGCCCAGAUGGGAUUAGCUAGUAGGUGGGGUAAAGGCUCACCUAGGCGACGAUCCCUAGCUGGUCUGAGAGGAUGACCAGCCAAACUGGAACGGAGACAGGGUCCAGACUCCAACGGGAGGCAGCAGUGGGAAAUAUUGCACAAUGGGCGAAGGCCUGCUGCGGCCAGGCCGGGUGUAUGAAGAAGGCCUUCGGGUUGUAAAGUCCUUUCAGCGGGGAGGCGUUACCCGAAGAAGAAGCACCGGCUAACUCCGUGCCAGCAGCCGCGGUAAUUC
rnacentral:rRNA from 1 species